ensembl:lncRNA novel transcript
GGCAGAGCCAAAACCGUAACAGCCAGAGCUAGAGACUCCGGCCUGGGGUUCUGGCUCUGUCCCGUAUCAGCUAGGAAACCCAGGGCAAGCUACUUAAACUCUCAGAGGCUCAGCUUUUUCAUGAGCAAACAGGAAAACAGGGCUAAUGAUUAGUCCUUGGCUUAAAAUACAUACCGCGUGUGAAAUUGCAGGUAUAUAAUAGAUUCACUAAAUGAGAGAAGCCAAAUAUGGUGAUAGAGACUCUCAUCAAGGACACUGAGUAAACCAGAAACCUGCUUGGGCUCACGUUCCUUGUCUCUUCUUCUCAGAUCCAGGAAAGGAGCUGUCCAGGACAAUGAGGAUAGGCUGAGGAAAGACAGGCCACGGCCUUGCCUCUGUGCCAGCUCUCAUGGGCCAGGCAGAGUAUCCCAGGACAACUGCCUCCACAACCAGCUCCAUCCUUCAUCAGCAAUUCAGUACCUGAUUAACAAAUCUGUACCCCAGGAGGUUAUGCCAAGUCCAACUUCUUCCAGAGACCACAACAAUAAAUCCAAGCCACUGCUAAUGUCAUUUAUAAGCUGUGGGAUUAAAACAGAGAAGCAAUCAAUUAAUUAAAAUUAGCUCUUUAUUGA